CAUCCCUUGUGUCCCUAUAUGUUGGACUUCUAAUCCAAAGGUCGUGGGUUCGAAUCCCACCUGGGAUGG